rnacentral:lncRNA from 12 species
GGGCAGGGCUGAGGCAGGACGGAUUUGGUCCUCUCUCGCCCUGCUCCACAGUCCAUCGCAUUGUGGCCAGAGUGCUGUAAACACGACAAGCCAAAGGAAGACCUUAGAAAACAACUCAAGGAAGCUACAAAGGCUGUUGGGAAAGCAAAGAAGCCAGCUGGACUGGUUAGUGUCAAACAUAACAUUUUCUUAUAGCUGUGGUAGGUUGAUUUCUCC